rnacentral:rRNA from 1 species
UACGAAGGGGGCUAGCGUUGUUCGGAAUCACUGGGCGUAAAGCGCACGUAGGCGGAUUGUUAAGUCGGGGGUGAAAUCCUGAGGCUCAACCUCAGAACUGCCUUCGAUACUGGCAAUCUCGAGUCCGGAAGAGGUUGGUGGAACAGCUAGUGUAGAGGUGAAAUUCGUAGAUAUUAGCUAGAACACCAGUGGCGAAGGCGGCCAACUGGACAGAUACUGACGCUGAGACA